rnacentral:rRNA from 1 species
UACGGAGGGUGCAAGCGUUGUCCGGAUUUAUUGGGUUUAAAGGGUGCGUAGGCGGCUAAUUAAGUCAGCGGUGAAAUUCUACAGCUUAACUGUUAGAACUGCCAUUGAUACUGGUUGGCUUGAGUACAGAUGAGGUAGGCGGAAUUGACAGUGUAGCGGUGAAAUGCGUAGAUAUCUGGAGGAACACCGGUGGCGAAGGCGGCAUCCUGGACCGACACUGACGCUGAGGAGCGAAAGCCAGGGGAGCAAACGGG